AAUCAUUAAAACUUUCAACAACGGAUCUCUUGGUUCCGGCAUCGAUGAAGAACGCAGCGAAAUGCGAUAAUUAAUGUGAAUUGCAGAAUUCCGUGAAUCAUCGAGUUUUUGAACGCACAUUGCGCCCCCUGGCAUUCCGGGGGGCAUGCCUGUCCGAGCGUCAUU
rnacentral:rRNA from 1 species